UGUGUAUAUAUGUAUAUGUAUAUAUGUCUAUGUAUGUAUGUAUGUAUGUGUAUAUAUAUAUAUGUAAAUAUCCAUAAGGAUAAUCAUAAAACUUAGCUCUUUAUUCAAACGUUUAACUAGACUUUACAGUGUUACAGUCUGGAAAUAAAGCAGGGAUCACAGCCUGAUCUGAAUCUGUUCAUCUUGGUCCAUUUAUGUAAAACGAGUCUGUAACAUCUCCACAGUAACAAUAAGAUAUAAGUCAACCUCUGAAAGUCUAACGUUUGAAAGUGAAGCUUUUAACGCUUUACUUCCAAAGGCAUCAAGCUGAGAAUUACCAACGUAUUUUACCUCGAAAUAUAUGACUAUGUUUUACUGUAUAUACUAUAUAUACCUUCCUUCCAAGCAGAGAGAUAUUUUGCAAAUAUUACUGCAAAAGUGGGUCCUCAGUUAUUAGUAUACAGAGAAAAUGGACUGAUUCACUCGUGAUAUUAACCCUCCACCUCCGCCAAUAGUAGCUCAGACAUUUCAAACUAAGAUAAAACUUUAUCUACAAAACAGAUCAAAGUGAGCCACAAGUCCACAUCUGAACAGCAUUUUAGAAAGAAAAAGAGUGGCGUGGUGUAAUUGUGCACUAUAACAGCAAUGUAACAGAUACAGGAAGUACAGUGGGUUACAAACCACAAAUUGACUAUUACCUGGAAAAAAGCUAAAAGCUUUCAAAACAUGUGCAGAUUUAACGGAACACAAAGCAGGAUGAUGUACAAACCUUGAGGCAAGUUCAGAAAAGUGAAGGAAUUCCACAACAUCGCUGACACAGUGGAGCAGCCAAUCAGUGCAGUCGUUAACGUUUCAGCCAAUCAGAGCAGACCCAUCUCCUCUGCACUUGAAGGGCGGAAGAGAGCUAGGAUUAGAAGGAAUCAUGGACGGAGGUGGAAUAACAAGCAGUCAGGAACCUGAAGAGGAGCCUCAGACAGCAGGACCACAGCAGCAGGUCUCGUCUGACUGCAGCCCUCCAAGCAAGCAGUGUAAGAGGACCAAGCACAAAUGUCCCAUUUGUGGGCAACUGUAUGCUGACAUUAUCCAGCACCUGAGAAGCACGGAAAAGGUGGUCAAUAAAACAGAGCUCCUUCUUCUGAGCAAGACUUCUCAUCGACAUUUUAGGACAAAUCUGGACUGCCCAGUGCAUCUCUGCAAGUCCAAACAUAUAAACCGACUAGACAAGCAUCUGCAAAAGAUCCACCAUCUGAAGAACCCAAUGGUAAGCCUUUAUAUAGAAAAAGCUAAGGACAGGUACAUCGCGAGAGAACUGGCCCUCCUACGUGCGUCGAAACCCGUACCACCAAUGGUGUCUCAUCUGGACGAGGUCGAUGCUUCAGCCAUAGAAGAGGGUGUCAGGAGGGUGAUAGAGGCCAGAUCACAAGCUGCAGCGUCUGCCACUGUGCCUCCUCUUUCGGGCCCCCUCCGCAGUUCUCCCCCUGCCAGCCAGGCUUCCUGUGACCCAGAUAGACAAGCUCCAUCAACCAGCCAGGUUUGUGACCCAGAAACUGUACCAGCUGUGCAGGAUCCUUGCCAACAGGCCAAGCGAGGAAGAAGGCACUCUGUCGUGAGCACCCCUGAUCCUGGGUGCAGGAACUGCCAGCUUCUGUCUGCUGAGCUAAAGGUGGUGAAGGACCUGCUGGAGAUCGAAAUUGAAAGAAACGAUGAGCUGAAGCAGCUCCAUUGUUCCACAAUGCGUGCAACUGCAGCAAAACAUCGCAGACGUGCACCAUUUGACCCCAGCAAAGCCCCUCGCUAUGUAAGUUUGGUCGAGGAAUUUAGGAGCCACACAGAAGGUGCCAAUCCCAGUAGAAAAACUUCGGACAAUGCCAAGCAGCGAGGCAAACAUGUAAUCGAUUUUCUAAAGUACAUGGCAGAGCCAGGAUCCCCAAGUGUUGACCUUCUCUUCCUGCGUGACCAUGCUAGAGUCCGUGGUUUUGUUGAAGUCCUUCAGGGAAAAAGAUUUACACCAACCACUCAGAGGAGUUAUUUAAUGGAUGUUGUGGCCUUUUUGAAAUAUAUUUCAAACAUGGCCCCACUAGCCGUCAGAUUAGGAACGAAAAGAAUCAACUGCAUCCUGGUGGAGCUGAGGGCCCGGCUCAAAGACAUUGGCCGGGAUAUUGUCAGCCACCAGCUAAGUGUGAGGCGAAGGAAAUCUGAGAGACUGGUCAAGGCAAAGACACAUUCAAGGUUUAUGCAUGAGGCCCCUAAGAGGAUAACUGCAGCACUGGUUGAGCUUGAGAAGCAUCCAGAGGACAGAGGAUCUCUUAAAGAGUUUUUUGGACUGCUGGCUGGGUACAUAAUUUCCACAACAGGCCACCGAAAGGGUGUUGUUGUUAACAUGACAACAAAGGAGGUCAAUGAGGCUGAAAAAACUACGCAGGGUGCCCGCAUCAUCCGUGUUGGACAGCACAAGACUCAGAGACACUUUGGUGAAGCAGCUGUACCCCUCAAUCCAAGUGAGUAUUCCUGGCUGCAGCGUUACAACCUGCUUCGACACAGCAUCGAAGGAGGCAAAGAGGCUUCAACCUUCUUUCACACGACCAGUGGAGGCGUUCUGCUGAGGCUGUCUGAAUAUUUCAAGGAGGCCUGGAAGCGGAUGGGCUUGGGGACACCCCCAACUUUCAACAUGCUUCGCUCCUCUGUUGCCACUUAUGCCAAGCGACACUUAGGAGACAGCGCAUACAAGAAGGUGGCAACAUUCAUGUGUCAUGAUGCCUCUACGGCCAAGAGAUUUUAUCACGCGGAGGACCCAGCAGAGGUCACGCUCAAAAGCAGAGAGUUGUCAAUGAUGGCAAUUUCCUCAUAUGCUGCGAAUGAGGGUAAUGCAGAACCGGAUCCUGAAGAGGACGAGGAAAAUGUGCCAAAAAGGACUUACCAGCUGCGUGAGAGAAGGACAUCUGAUGGGACAGAUAAACAGGAGGUCGAGUUCCCUUUCCAAAAAAGAGAGUGGUUGAGUUCUUCUGAGGGUGAUGGCUCUGCAGAUGAAUGGAAACCCACACAGAAGGAAUUUGAGGAUGAUUCUGAAGAAGAGGAGGAACAGGUCAUACAAAGCGUUCACACGGUGGCCAAAAGAAAGAGAUCUGUCCUGCAAAGAGAAGAAGAGUGCUCCUCUGGUCAGAAAACUACACAGGCGGAAUCGGAGGAGGAUUCUGAAGAAGAGGAGGAACAGGUCACACGAAGGGUUCACAAGAUGGCCAAAAGAAAGAGGUCUGAGAGCCCUGUCUGGCAAAGAGAGAUGCAGCCGGCUUUUGUAAGCCCAGGAACAGCAAAGAUGUUGACAACGCACUCAAAAAAAGUCAAUAUUGGGAAGAUUAUUUUCCACAAGUCACCCCUCUAUGAUGUCACCAUGCCAAUAUCUGGUGACAUCAUCAAACACCAGGCGGGAUCCACAGUCGGACAGAUGAUUCCCUUAGGAUCCGUGGGAGAAACAGUCUCCAAAGAGUUGCUGUUGGAGAAUGAAAUUUCAGUGGCAGACACAACAUUCGACAAGAACCUGUCUGAAGAAAGGGCGGGAGAAUAUAAAGGACAAGAAAAAGAAGGUGAAGUGGAUGAGGGCUCUUUAGAGAAGUCAAAGACUGAAGGUGAAGACAAAAAUAAGACAGAAAAUAAGAUAAAAGAAGGACGAAAUACAGAGAAAGAGACACAGGAAGACUCUUUUGAGAAAAUAGAGAGUAAGAGUGAAAAAAUAAAGAAGAGCGAAACAAAGAUUCAAGAGGAGUCCUUGGAGAAGAUGGAGAGUAAGAAUGAAAAUGGAGAGAAGAGAGAAACAAAGAUUCAAGAGAAGUCUUUGGAGAAGAUGGAGAGUAAGAGUGAAAGGGGAAAGAAGAGAGAAACAAGGAUUCAAGAGAAGUCUUUGGAGAAGAUGGAGAGUAAGAGUGAAAAGGGAAAGAAGAGAGAACCAAAGAUUCGAGAAGCUCCUUUGGUGAUGACGAGUAGUAAAGUUAAAAGGAGAUUCAGGAGUAGAGCAAAGAAAGAUGAGAAGCAUGUGGUGAUGAUGAGGAGUAGGGCUAAAGAAUUGCAAAGGAGAAAGCUAAAAGAGGAGCAUUUGGAGACGAGUGAGAGGGAAAGUGAAGAAGGAUCAAGUGGAACAGCACAAACCUGGAAGUCUUUGGAGAAGAUAGAGGGUAAGAGUGAAAAGGGAAACAAAAUAGAAACAAAGAUUCAAGAGAAGUCUUCGGAGAAGAUGGAGUGUAAGAGUAAAAAAGGAAAGAAGAGAGAAACAAAGAUUAAAGCGGAGUCUCUGGAGAAGAUGGAGAGUAAGACUGAAAAAGGAAAGAAGAGAGAAACAAAGAUUAAAGCGGAGUCUCUGGAGAAGAUGGAGAGUAAGACUGAAAAAGGAAAGAAGAGAGAAACAAAGAUUCAAAAGGAGCCUUUGGAGAAGAUGGAGAGCAAGACUGAAAAAGGAAAGAAGAGAGAAACAAAGAUUCAAAAGGAGCCUUUGGAGAAGAUGGAGAGUAAGACUGAAAAAGGAAAGAAGAGAGAAACAAAGAUUCAAAAGGAGCCUUUGGAGAAGAUGGAGAGUAAGACUGAAAAAGGAAAGAAGAGAGAAACAAAGAUUCAAAAGGAGCCUUUGGAGAAGAUGGAGAGUAAGACUGAAAAAGGAAAGAAGAGCGAAACAAAGAUUCAAAAGGAGCCUUUGGAGAAGAUGGAGAGUAAGACUGAAAAAGGAAAGAAGAGAGAAACAAAGAUUCUAAAGGAGCCUUUGGAGAAGAUGGAGAGUAAGACUGAAAAAGGAAAGAAGAGAGAAACAAAGAUUCAAAAGGAGCCUUUGGAGAAGAUGGAGAGUAAGAGUAAAAAAGGAAAGAAGAGAGAAACAAAGAUUAAAGCGGAGUCUCUGGAGAAGAUGGAGAGUAAGACUGAAAAAGGAAAGAAGAGAGAAACAAAGAUUCAAAAGGAGCCUUUGGAGAAGAUGGAGAGUAAGACUGAAAAAGGAAAGAAGAGAGAAACAAAGAUUCAAAAGGAGCCUUUGGAGAAGAUGGAGAGUAAGAGUGAAAGGGGAAAGAAGAGAGAAACAAAGAUUCAAGAGAAGUCUUUGGAGAAGAUGAUGAGUAAGAGUGAAAAGGGAAAGAAGAGAGAACCAAAGAUUCAAGAAGCUCCUUUGGUGAUGACAAGUAGUAAAGUUGAAAGGAGAUUCAGGAGAAGAGCAAAGAAAGAUGAGGACCAUGUGGUGAUGAUGAGGAGUAGGGCUUAAAGAAUUGCAAAGGAGAAGGCUAAAAGAGGAGGAUUUGGAGACGAGUGAGAGGAAAAGUGAAGAAGGAUCAAGUGGAACAGCACAAACCUGGAAGAUGCACUUUAAGAAAAGGAAAUUUCAAGAAUGACUGGAAGAAAGGAGAAAGCUGGAGGAAAUGGAAACUGAUCGAAACCUUUAGAAAAGGGGAAAAUUAAGCAUGUGCAUUAAAAUGUUCAGUUCAGAGUUCCUUGAAUUUGAUGUGAUCUAUAGAACUGGUCAACUUGCAAAAUAGUGGAAUUUGUUUUUCCCAAAGUCAUGAGUCCAGUAAUCCUAGCAUUCAAAUGUGUACAGGGUUUAGCUAAAGAGUUUUUUUGUAUCUAUUUUUCUAUAUUUGUCUGCUUUCCUAAUCGUGAAAAGCUUCACAGUAAAGAUUGGUCCAAAAGCCGUAUACUGUGUGUUCUGUGUUCAACAGUUCAGAAGAGUAAGGUAGUUUUUAUAUACUCCCACCAGUGAUGCAGGGAAGUAAACAUGUUGUUUUAUUUUUCAAAAUUUGCUCCAAUCAUGACCAGUCUUGACCCCAGGAAAGGGGGUAAACAUUUGUUGUUGUUCUCUUGGAUUACAGACCACUUUCUCAGUAUAGUAACACUAAAACAACUCCAACUCCAACUCCUACACCAGAGAUGCUCCUAUCUGGAAUCCAGAGAAUCCGCCUUGUAUUUCGAUUGUUAGUUCUUUCCAGGUGCUUGGGGGGUUAUGAGGAUCCCCAGUGCAGGGCCCUUGUUUGUCCUGGCCAUUCACAAGGCCAUUAAAUGCAUCUUCAUCCAACCUUACUCUAGAGAUACUGAGGGCCACCUGUUGGGGGGAGGAGCAUGACAUUUUGGAGAGGUUAAGCAUGACUCAAAAGUUUCAAGGGUCGUGAGAAGAGUAGUUGGGUUUUACAUCUAUUUAAUUUGAGGCUUAUUGUCAAAGACUUGAUCUGUUGCUCCUGUGUCCUCAUUUGGAUCCUGAAGCAGUAGGAAAUUUACAUUUUAACCAUGGUGGCUCAAUGCUGUAAAGAUCAAUAUAUAAUAAAUGUGUUUAUAUAUUAUAUUCAGUUACAUGAUCUGUAUCACUGUGUGCUCCUCGUUUGCUCCUCCCCUGAGUGGGACAGAGAAGUUAUGUGGGGAGGAGCGCAGCCCAGCUGCACGGUGCUCAUUAGAUAUGCAAAUGUAGCAUGACUACAUGAGGUCCUAAGUUAGCAUGAGGUCCUAAGUUAUUUCUAAAGCUACUUCCAGUAUGUUAGUCGCAGUCAACAUGCUUCCUGGAUAACAUGGUUGUAGACAUCUCAGGGAUCUCCUGGUUCAAGUUUCAGGUCUCUGUCUGCUUAGACCAAAUUAGUUCAAAAGGGAAGGCCUCAGUCAAGGUCAAAGGUCAUUGGAGACCACCCUCUCAGUAUAUACAUUUAAAAAAAAAAAAACAUCCUCUGCAACUUUGUCCCUUUGACAUAAAAAUGCACCGGCUGAUUCAUGAGCCCUCCAGGUCCUGGUACAUAAAAAGCUGAAAUUCACAGGACAUGGUCCUUGGGGGGGCCUAGAUCAUUUGUACACAUUUUGGUGGAUGAAGCAGCAAGGCUUGAUCAAGUGGCAGACUUUGCAAGUGUAUGACUGAGGCCUGUUCAGCCAAAUGUGGCUGAAUCGACUCACUGUCACAUUUGCUGUAAAGCAGAGGUCUAACUAGCUAAACAUUAGGACCCCUAAAUUGUCUGUCUGUCCCAACAGGAAGUGACCUAAUUUUGACCCCAAACUUCAGGAGGUCAUUUAGACCACCUUCUCAGUAUAUAAAGGCUAUAGCACCCAACAUACACCCUUAAGAUUCUUUAAUAAAGGUUAGAACCUCUGAACCAAGGUUAUAUUAAACCUGCUGGUCUUCAAUGGAAUAACAUUCUGCAGAAGUGAGGGCUUUUACUGCUGAGUUUUUACAGUAUCUCUAAUGACCAUGGCUCGUGUGCGUUUCUGUCAGCCGAGUACACCAACAAGUACAUCUCCAUCACUCAGGGUGAGUGACCUGAUCCCACAGGAUGUUUACUUAUGUACUCACCAAAAUAGGAGACUUAACAGACUGCUGACAGAGUGACUGCAGUCUGAAUGUGUUUCAGUUGAGAGCCACCAGACCUGAGUUGUUUACACUACCUCUGAGCCCUUAUGAGUCAACCCAGGGUAAGUCAGCCAACCUCUGACCCUGCUGUCGUCAGUGAGAGGGGGAGUGAAUGGGGAGUGAUUUACUUGCAAGUUUUUUUCUAUCAUAUAAGAGAAUGGUCACAUGCCCUACGUGAGUGUUUCACUUUUGUGUUGCUGCAGAAGAAACAUUAAAGAUGGAGUCACAAAGGUUUUAGUUUACUGUUCUGUUCCAAAUAGUAAAAUAAAGUUAGGACAUUUCAGAAUCAUAGAUUAAUGUUUUGAAAUUGUAAAUCUUCUUCUUUCACAUCGCUGUGUGCCUGACUCUCUUCAAAUAUGAGAUCAGAAUCAGAAUUCCUUUAAUGUCCCGUAGACCGGGAAAUGUGUAUGUUGCAACAGCAGAAUAUUACAAGACAGAGAAAUAGAAAAAUAGACAAAAAAAUGAUAAUUUUAUAUACAGAUUUUAUGUAAAGGUAAUAAAUAUGGGUGAUGAAAUGAGUUUGUACAGACUUAUUGCACAGUGCAGAGCAUGGGGUGAGGUCGAUAUGGAGCAGUGCUGGUUGUUAAGUCUGACAGCAGCAGGAAGGAAGGACCUGCGAUACCUCUCCUUCACACACUUGGGGUGUAUCAGUCUGUUGCUGAAGGAGCUGCCCAGUGCUGAGAUAGAGACCUGCAGGGGAUGGGACUCCUGCAUCAGCAGCGAUGACAGCUUGUCCAUCAUCCUGCUCUCUCCCACCACCUGCACUGGGUCAAGAGGGUAUCCCAGGAUGAAGCUGGCCUUCUUGAUAAGUUUAUCAAGUCUCCUCCUGUCUGCUGCUGAGAUGCUGCUGCUCCAGCAGACUACUCCAUAGAAAAUGGCUGAUGCCACCACAGAGUCAUAGAAAGAGGUCAGGAGUGCCCCCUGCACUCCAAAGGACCUGAGCUUCCUCAGCAGAUACAGUCUGCUCUGACCUUUCUUGUAUGUAGCUGCAGUGUGAUCAGUCCAGUCCAGUUUAUUGUUCAGGUGAACUCCCAGGUACUUGUAAGAUGUCACCAUCUCAAUGUCUGUUCCCAGGAUGUUCACCUUUGUGCAGGGUUGUCUGUGCCUGCGCAAAUCCACCACCAGCUCUUUGGUCUUCCCGGCGUUGAGCUGGAGAUGGUUCUGCUGGCACCAGUCCACAAAGUCCUUGAUGAGUUCUCUGUAGGCUCUGUCGUCCCCGUCCCUGAUGAUGCUGUAAGAAUACAUCAUUCUUAGAAUAUUAUAGCAUAUGCUUGUGCAUGUCUCUGUGUGUUUGAGGUUGUGUGUCUCUACGGAUGCAGGUCAAUUUGAUCCAGAGACCUGAAGGAUGUAAAUGUGCAGGGUAUGUGUGCUCAGACUUUUAUUUUAUUUGUUUCUUAUUCAUUUAUUUAUUUAUUUUGCAAUGUUUAUCACAGAAUAUAAUCUAAGGCCAUUGAGUUUCAGGUUGAAAGAAAUUAUACUAGUACCAUUUUUCUUGUGAAACACCAUACAAUAGUUAGCUAUCUUUGCCUCAGCCUCUGGCCAUCCAAACAGUAUAAGCGAUGGUAAAAACUCCUCUCCUGUGGAACCCACACUGUCCCAAGGCACCCACAAGGAGUGAGAAGAGACAGAAAGAUCGAAAGGGGGGACAGAGAGGUGGACGGGCAGACCAGGAGCAGCAAAAUGAAAUAAAAACCUCACUUUUCUGAUAGUCCGGUAACAGGUCUGAACA
ensembl:lncRNA